GGCGAGAUGGCCGAGUGGUCUAAGGCGCUACGUUUAGGUUUCCGAACCCGCCCGUAGUCCGAAAGGGCGUGGGUUCGAACCCCACUCUCGUCA